GAGGUCGCAACUUCCCCGCCCCUCUUCUUUUUUCUCAGAUCCACCAGAUGUUGCGCUCCUCCUCACAGCGGGGCGGGGCAGCAGCCGCAGCACCAGCGCCACCACCGCUCCAUGAAGCUCCUUCUCCUUUUCUUUCCCCGUGUUGUUACCCUGCGGCCGUGUCCGACGAGUUCGACGGUGAGAUGCGCCCCCGCGGACGCCGACCCGCGAUGCUGCAACUAUGGCGUGGCGGAGCUGGUACCGCACGGUGAUACAAGUCGACGGCGGCGAGCUGGACAUAGUGACCAACGGCGACAAAGUUGCCAUUCAACUUGUUUUGUCCCCGUCGGCCGAUGUGUAGAAUUGCUGCGUUUGGCUGAGCAAUUUCCAUGCGCUGUACCCAGGAGGCGGAGUCGCGUGGGGGCAGAGGCGGGGAUUUUUUUUUCUGGGAAGCGUUGACUAGGACGAAGAAGACAAAUCGAGGUGAGAGAGGCCAGACUGGACGACUCCUGGAGGCCAGAUCGGACGACUGGCGCUCGACCGGCCCAACAAUUAGGCCGGCAUGCCGGCGCAGAUCACUACCCUAAUGCGCUGCUACAUUCAUCUCCCGGACACAGUGCAUGAAUUGAACGGAACCUAUCAUUCCCGCUGUAAUACAACAAUCAGCGUAGAUAGCCUCUCUUUGACUCCAGAUUAUAUCUUCUCCGGAACAUGUGUUGAUCACCUCAAGAGAAUUUGAUUCAAUUUGAAUCGAGUGGAGUCCCAUCUCAUCAGCGAGGAGGAAGCCCAUGGUACACCGCCAUUGCCUCGGCAGAAUGUGCAUCAGUAACAUGUUGUAAUGGCCCGCAAGUCGCUGCCAGAAACACCUCGUUAUUAUCUCUAAUUAUUGCUCCUGUUGCACCCCUAUUUCUCAUCAGCAUAGAAUGAAGCGUCGCCAUUUACUUUGACUGUUCCUUGAAUUGGCUUCUCCCAUUUCUUCCCAGUUCGGAUUACCUGACACCUUGUAGAUGCCGCUCUUUGAAAGUUUAGGCAUAUUGCACUAACCGCCGGUGCACUUCUU